rnacentral:rRNA from 1 species
ACGCUCGACACCUACGGGAGGCAGCAGUGGGGAAUAUUGGGCAAUGGGCGAAAGCCUGACCCAGCAACGCCGCGUGAGGGAAGAAGGUUUUCGGAUUGUAAACCUCUGUCCUCAGGGACGAAGGACGUGACGGUACCUGAGGAGGAAGCCCCGGCUAACUACGUGCCACAGCCGCGGUAAUCUGAGCGGGCUGGCAAGGC